rnacentral:lncRNA from 1 species
GCAGGAAGUGGGGCAGGAUCGUGGGCAUCAUAGCAGUCUGCCAGAGAGUAAUGGAGCCGCACAAAAUCCGUCGUAGGAAGUGGAGCAGAGUCGUGGCCGUUACUGUGGCCUGCCAGGGAGUGAUGGGGCCGCGCAGAAUCUAUCGCAGGAAGUGGGGCAGCAUCGUGGCCGUUGCUGCAUCAUGCCAGGGAGUGCAAGCCUGUCGGCUGAAGUUUGGCUGGAGUGUCUGGU